rnacentral:rRNA from 1 species
AGCAGCCGCGGUAAUUCCAGCUCCAAUAGCGUAUAUUAAAGUUGUUGCGGUUAAAAAGCUCGUAGUUGAAUUUCGGGGUCAGUAGGUUGGUCGUGCCACUGGUAUGUACUGGCUUCACUGAUUCCUCCCUCUUGUAGAACCGUAAUGCCAUUAAGUUGGUGUUGCGGGGAAACAGGACUGUUACUUUGAAAAAAUUAGAGUGUUUAAAGCAGGCUAACGCUUGAAUACAUUAGCAUGGAAUAAUGAAAUAGGACGUUUGAUCCUAUUUUGUUGGUUUCUAGGAUUGACGUAAUGAUUAAUAGGGAUAGUUGGGGGCAUUAGUAUUCAAUUGUCAGAGGUGAAAUUCUUGGAUUUAUUGAAGACUAACUACUGCGAAAGCAUUUGCCAAGGAUGUUUUCAUUAAUCAAGAACGAAAGUUAGGGGAUCGAAGACGAUCAGAUACCGUCGUAGUCUUAACCAUAAACUAUGCCGACUAGGGAGUCGGAUGAUGUUAAUUUUUUGAUGACUCAUUCGGCGCCUU